rnacentral:lncRNA from 1 species
CAGCCCUCCUUCAGGUUCGAGCCAAGCAGGCAUGGUCUUUCUCUUGGAUCUUUCUGUCUGAGUGGAGUUUUGGCAGAAGUGCCUUCAAUUUGUUUGCUUUUGAGAUUUGUUGUCUUGCCUGAGUAAGCGUUAAACAGAAGGAAACCUCUCUCUCAAGGUAAGGGCGAAGUGCUGAAGCUAGAAAACCGUAAUUAAAUAAUCGGGUGUCUGGCAGGCCCAGGGAGGCUGCGAAGCUGCUGUUUGUUUCCCUUUUCCUGCGCGGGUCAUUCCUAAGAAGACAGAGAUGGGAGUGGCAAGCGAUGGGGAGAGCCUGGCGUGAAGCGAGUGUGCAGCUCAUUCUUGAUAGAAAAAGAAAGGAUGACUGCUUGCUGCUCAUGAGGCCAGCAUUCAUAUUUG